ACAACCUUUUUUUUUAUUAUUUAUUUUCUUUUCUUUUCUUUUCUUUUUUUUUAAAUCACAUUUAUAUAAUCUAAAUUCCAAACAAAUGAACAAAAAUUACAUUAAUUAAUUUAAAAUUUACAGAAAUAGUCCGUAAACAUCCAUAGGCUUCUGGAAUACGCAGGAACAGUGUUCGGAGCAGUGGCGGCGCGUCUUCCCACGCGCCACGUCACUGGCGGCACGUGGGUUCACGCGCCGCCAAUGGAAAACCUGAAAAACAAAGGGGGCUGGAGCGGCUCGUUCUCCUCUUCCUUUCCUCGCCGGCGGUGAAGAUCACCGCCACCUGCAACAACAAAAAAAACUCACAAACAGCAAUCGGUUUUUAUUUUUCUUCCCGUUACAGAUCUGCUUCUUUUUGAUCUGCAGAAGCAGAUCGGUUCUUUUCCUUCUUCAGAUCGAUCUCGCCUCUAUUUUCGUUCCUCUGCUGGUUGCUGGAUCUUCAGACGGCGGGGGGCUGGAGGCUGGAGCUGCUGCGGGGGCCCGAAGAUGGAAAAAUCUGUGGUGUUGCUGAUGGCGAUCGAUUGAAGGAGAAAGUACUGGGUGGAGACGAGGAGCUGCUGCCGUUGGAAGACGCCGCUGAUGGUCUGGAGGAGGAGGAGACGACGAACAUAUAUGGGUCCGUGAGCACCUCUGUGUUCGGGCUGAAGAGAUCGCCGGCGAAGAAGACGCUGCUGAGGGGGAAAGUGAGAUGGGGGUCUCGGGCGCAAAAAAUCAAUCCGGGGAAGGGGCUGUUCGGUUUUGUAGGAGAAGGGAAAGGAUUUGUGUGGCUUCGGGGGAGAUGACGGGGAGAUUGAAAAAAAAAGCUGUGGCCGGUUGAGGGAGAAGAAACAAAAAUUCAAAAAGUGAGGGGCUGGCUUGGGAAAAAAUGGGAGAAGAUAUCUUGGCCGGCGGCUGGGAAAAAUUAAAACCAGAGGGGGGCUGCCAAAGGGAUUGGGGCUUGUGGGUGUCUCCCCCCUCCUGCUGGAUCUUCGAAAAAAAUAGCACCCAUCUCCCCCCUUUUGCAAAGCUGGGGAUGAGAAGAAA
rnacentral:lncRNA from 1 species